ensembl:snoRNA small nucleolar RNA SNORA2/SNORA34 family
AUGGCCCUGUAUCAAGGCUGGCCAUUUUCUGAAGCUACUGAUUUCAAGAAGGAGCCCUAAGUGUUAUCUUCCUAUGGCCUGUUGGCCAUUUGAGAACUUCAGAAAUGUAAUGGUCAAUUCAUUAGAAAAAAACAAUU